AGUGAACGCUGGCGGUAGGCCUAACACAUGCAAGUCGAACGGCAGCACAGUAAGAGCUUGCUCUUACGGGUGGCGAGUGGCGGACGGGUGAGGAAUACAUCGGAAUCUACUUUUUCGUGGGGGAUAACGUAGGGAAACUUACGCUAAUACCGCAUACGACCUACGGGUGAAAGCAGGGGAUCUUCGGACCUUGCGCGAUUGAAUGAGCCGAUGUCGGAUUAGCUAGUUGGCGGGGUAAAGGCCCACCAAGGCGACGAUCCGUAGCUGGUCUGAGAGGAUGAUCAGCCAUACUGGAACUGAGACACGGUCCAGACUACUACGGGAGGCAGCAGUGGGGAAUAUUGGACAAUGGGCGCAAGCCUGAUCCAGCCAUACCGCGUGGGUGAAGAAGGCCUUCGGGUUGUAAAGCCCUUUUGUUGGGAAAGAAAAGCAGCAGGUUAAUACCCCGCUGUUCUGACGGUACCCAAAGAAUAAGCACCGGCUAACUUCGUG
rnacentral:rRNA from 1 species